AAGAAGGGAGAAGAUGUAGCAGUAAUUGAAACUGACUCCAACAAUAUAUAUUUUGCUUUCUUUCUUCUAAUGAAAGCAGAACCAGAAAGAAAAAAAAUGCCACAAGAAGAAGAUGAAUCCUUGAUCAUCUACCUAAAGAAAGAACUUGAAUCCUCUCUUAUAAGGAAUGAUUCAUUGGAGAAAGAAAAUAGAGAAUUAAGGCAAGAAAUUAUCCGUCUAAAAGCACAGAUUACUUCUCUCAAAGCUCAUGAUAAUGAGAGAAAAUCUUUGCUUUGGAAGAAAUUGCAGAAUUCCAAUGAUUCAUCUCAACAGAUCAGACCAUCUGAACCUCCUGAUAAUAAUCCUAAAUUGCAACUACCAAACCCUCCACCAAAACUUACUCCUAUAUUUAAUCAAAAUAAAUUACCACCGCCAAUAUCAGCGGCGCCACCACCGCCACCGCCACCAUCAAAGAUGUUUAUGGGUUCAAAAUCGGUUCGGCGCGUACCAGAAGUUGUGGAAUUCUAUCGUUUGCUGACAAGGAAAAAUGUAAGCUCGGAGAAUAAUAAAAACCAUUCUACUGCUGCUACUCCAGUAACCGCAUUUUCACCGAACAUGAUUGGGGAAAUCGAGAACCGCUCUACUCAUCUUUCUGCUAUAAAAUCAGAUGUGGAAAAACGGAAAGAAUUCAUAAAUUACUUAAUCAAAGAAGUGGAGUCUGCAGCUUUUAAAGGAAUAUCUGAAGUGGAAACAUUUGUGCAAUGGCUAGACAAUGAACUAUCUUCCUUAGUUGAUGAAAGAGCAGUAUUAAAGCAUUUCACACAAUGGCCAGAAAGAAAAGCAGAUGCUCUAAGAGAAGCUGCCUGCAAUUACAGGGAUUUAAGAAAUCUUGAUGUAGAAGUUUCAUUAUUUGAGGACAAUCCAAAAGAGCCUUUGAACAAGUCUCUAGGGAGAAUCCAAGCAAUGCAAGACAGGCGAGCAUGUUGGAGAGAAGUGUUAAUAAUACGGAAAGGACGAGAGAAAGUAUAAUGAAGAAGUAUAGGGAGUUUCAGAUCCCGUGGGAAUGGUUGCUGGACACAGGGCUGAUUGGUCAGAUGAAAUUAAGUUCUUUGAGGCUAGCGAAAGCGUAUAUGAAAAGGAUAAUUAAAGAAUUACAAGCCAACGAGUGCUCAGGUUCAGAUAAUCUCUUGCUUCAAGGAGCUAGAUUUGCUUACCGGCUACACCAGUUUGCAGGUGGUUUUGACUCAGAGACCAUGCACGCAUUUCAAGAAUUGAAGAAGGUUGGAAUGGCCAGUCAUAAAUAAAUAGUAUGUAUGCAUUAAUUAUAUAAGCGAAAGUAUCUGUAAUCUACAGACACCUGAUGAAGAAAUCGAAAGAGAGAGGGAUGGCAGUUUCCAUAAAUUAUGAUGCUAAGGAUGUUGCUAAUCUCAAAAUUUUGUUGUAUAAGAUUCAUAAUUCAGAUGUUGAAAGUAGUUUUGAACAGGUGAGGACAUGGAUUAUAUGAAGAACUACAUUGAAGUAAUGUGUAUUUAUUGCAAAAUAUUUACAAAAAUAUAACUUUAACCUAUGUUGUUAUACGCGAUC